GAGUGGGGUGAUGACUAUGAUUGUUUCCCUAUUGGUUUGAUUGCCAGAAUGAUGGCAUAUGCGAUAUUAGCUCUAUCUGACCACUC
rfam:Amborella trichopoda AMTR_V1.0_contig_19655, whole genome shotgun sequence.